UAGUCCACGCCGUAAACGAUGUCUACUAGCCGUUGGGGAACUUGAUUCCUUAGUGGCGCAGCUAACGCACUAAGUAGACCGCCUGGGGAGUACGGCCGCAAGGUUAAAGCUCAAAUGAAUUGACGGGGGCCCGCACAAGCGGUGGAGCAUGUGGUUUAAUUCGAUGCAACGCGAAGAGCCUUACCAGGCCUUGACAUCCUGCGAACCCUUUAGAGAUAGAGGGGUGCCUUCGGGAACGCAGUGACAGGUGCUGCAUGGCUGUCGUCAGCUCGUGUCGUAAGAUGUCUGGUUAAGUCCAAUAACGAGCGCAACCCUUAUCCUUAGUUACCAGCAUUAAGUUGGGGACUCUAGGGAGACUGCCGGUGUUAAACCGGAGGAAGGCGGGGAUGACGUCAAGUCCUCAUGGCCCUUACGGGUAGGGCUACACACGUACUACAAUGGCAGAUACAAACCGUUUGCAAAGCCGCGAGGUUGAGCUAAUCGGUAAAACACUGUCCCAGUCCGGAUUGGAGUCUGCAACUCGACU
rnacentral:rRNA from 1 species